rnacentral:rRNA from 1 species
AUUGAACGCUGGCGGCAGGCCUAACACAUGCAAGUCGAACGAGUGGCGGACGGGUGAGUAAUGUCUGGGUAACUGCCCGAUGGAGGGGGAUAACUACUGGAAACGGUAGCUAAUACCGCAUACUAUCGGAUGCGCCCAUAUGGGUUUAGCUAGUAGGUGGGGUAAAGGCUCACCUAGGCGACGUUCACUAGCUGGUCUGAGAGGAUGACCAGCCACACUGGGACUGAGACACGGUCCAGACUCCUACGGGAGGCAGCAGUGGGGAAUAUUGCACAAUGGGCGCAAGCCUGAUGCAGCCAUGCCGCGUGUAUGAAGAAGGCCUUAGGGUUGUAAAGUACUUUCAGCGGGGAGGCGUUACCCGCAGAAGAAGCACCGGCUAACUCCGUGCCAGCAGCCGCGGUAAUAC